GGUAUGAAGUUGGUUUUCAUGGGAGGAAGGCGAAGGGGACUCGGUUCGCGUGCGGUGUUGGCACGGUUCAAUCUGACUGCUGCCCUGCUAGUUGUGCAGUAUGGUGGUGCGAUUGAGCCGUGCCAAUAUCACACUCAAUCAGCCAUCGAAUCAAGUCUUCUUCUUCCUCCUCCUCUUCCUCUUCUUAUU
rnacentral:pre_miRNA from 1 species